AUGCGCCACCACCACCUCCCCCUCUUCGUCCUGCUCGCCGCGCUCGCCGUCAGGGAGGCGGCCGGCGGCGACGCGGACGCGCUGCUUGCUGCCAAGGCCGCGCUCGAUGACCCGACCGGCUCGCUCGCGUCGUGGUCGAACGCCAGCACUGGCCUCUGCGCGUGGUCUGGCGUGUCGUGCGACCCGCGCUCCGGCGCGGUCGUCGGCGUCGACCUCUCCGGACGCAACCUCUCUGGUGCCGUCCCACGCGCCCUCUCCCGGCUACCCUACCUCGCGCGUCUCAACCUCGCCGCCAACUCCCUCUCCGGUCCCAUCCCGCCGUCGCUCUCCCGGCUCGGGCUCCUCGUCUACCUCAACCUCUCCAGCAACCUGCUGAACGGCUCCUUCCCGCCGCCGCUCACGCGGCUCCGCGCGCUCCGGGUUCUUGAUUUGUACAACAACAACUUCACCGGCUCGCUCCCGCUCGAGGUCGUCAGGAUGGCGCAGCUCCGGCACCUCCACCUCGGAGGCAACUUCUUCUCCGGGGAGAUUCCGCCAGAGUACGGCGGGUGGAGGAGGCUGCAGUAUCUCGCCGUCUCCGGCAACGAGCUGUCAGGGAAGAUACCCCCAGAACUGGGAAACUUGACGAGCCUCAGAGAGCUCUACAUAGGCUACUACAAUAACUACUCCGGGGGGAUACCGGCAGAGCUGGGGAACAUGACGGAGCUUGUGCGACUCGACGCGGCCAACUGCGGGCUCUCUGGCGAGAUCCCACCGGAGCUCGGGAAUCUCGCGAAGCUGGACACGCUGUUCCUGCAGGUGAACGGGCUCACCGGCGGCAUCCCGCCGGUGCUGGGUCGACUCGGGAGCCUCAGCUCGCUCGACCUGUCGAACAACGCGCUCUCCGGCGAGAUUCCGGCGACCUUCGCGGCCCUCAAGAACCUCACCCUGUUCAACCUCUUCCGAAACAGGCUCAGGGGUGACAUCCCCGAGUUCGUCGGCGACCUGCCCGGCCUCGAGGUGUUGCAGCUGUGGGAAAACAACUUCACCGGCGGCAUCCCGCGCCGCCUUGGCCGUAACGGCUGCUUCCAGCUGCUCGACCUCUCGUCGAACAGGCUCACGGGCACCCUCCCGCCGGAGCUCUGCGCCGGAGGCAAGCUGGAGACGCUCAUCGCGCUCGGAAACUCGCUCUUCGGUCCAAUCCCGGAUUCUCUCGGGAAAUGCAAGGCGCUCACCCGCGUUCGCCUCGGCGAGAACUUCUUGAAUGGUUCAAUCCCCGAAGGUCUAUUGGAGCUGCCGAAUCUGACCCAGGUGGAGCUCCAGGACAACCUCCUAUCGGGCAGCUUCCCGGCUGUGGUGAGCGCGGGCGGGCCGAAUCUUGGGGGGAUCAGCCUCUCCAACAACCAGCUCACCGGCGCGUUGCCGGCAUCCAUUGGGAGCUUCUCUGGGCUGCAGAAGCUGCUUCUUGAUCAGAAUGGGUUCACCGGCGCAAUACCGCCGGAGAUUGGACUGCUACAACAGCUGUCCAAGGCUGACCUCAGCGGCAAUUCAUUCAAUGGUGGCGUGCCGCCGGAGAUUGGGAAAUGCCGGUUGCUCACCUACCUUGAUGUUAGCCAGAACAAGCUGUCUGGAGAUAUACCGCCGGCUAUUUCAGGCAUGCGGAUACUGAACUAUCUGAACCUGUCCCGGAACCAGCUUGAUGGAGAGAUACCAGUAACCAUUGCUGCGAUGCAGAGCCUCACGGCCGUGGACUUCUCAUACAACAACCUGUCUGGGCUCGUGCCGGUGACCGGGCAGUUCAGCUACUUCAACGCCACGUCCUUCGUCGGCAACCCAGGCUUGUGUGGACCAUACCUCGGGCCAUGCCGCCCCGGCGGUGCUGGCACAGACCAUGACGUACACACUCAUGGUGGACUGUCCAGUAGCCUCAAGCUGAUCAUCGUCCUCGUCUUGCUUGCCUUCUCCAUUGCAUUUGCUGCCAUGGCAAUCUUGAAAGCCCGGUCACUGAAGAAAGCCAGCGAAGCGCGUGCAUGGAGGCUCACCGCGUUCCAGCGCCUUGAAUUCACCUGCGACGACGUGCUGGAUAGCCUCAAGGAAGAGAACAUGAUUGGCAAAGGUGGAGCUGGGACCGUGUACAAGGGGACGAUGCCAGAUGGUGACCAUGUUGCGGUGAAAAGGCUUUCCACGAUGAGUCGUGGCUCGUCGCAUGACCAUGGUUUCUCUGCCGAGAUACAAACUCUUGGGAGGAUUCGGCACCGGUACAUUGUGCGGCUGCUUGGCUUCUGCUCCAACAAUGAAACUAAUCUCCUGGUGUAUGAGUAUAUGCCUAAUGGCAGCCUGGGGGAGCUACUCCAUGGAAAGAAGGGCGGCCACCUGCACUGGGAUACUCGGUACAAGAUAGCUGUUGAGGCUGCCAAGGGGCUAUGCUAUCUUCACCAUGAUUGCUCACCACCCAUCCUGCACCGCGAUGUCAAAUCAAACAACAUUCUCCUUGACUCUGAUUUCGAAGCACAUGUUGCUGAUUUCGGGCUUGCCAAGUUCUUGCAGGACUCUGGCACAUCAGAGUGCAUGUCAGCCAUUGCCGGUUCUUACGGCUAUAUUGCUCCAGAGUACGCGUAUACUCUCAAGGUGGAUGAAAAGAGCGAUGUUUACAGCUUCGGUGUAGUGCUUCUUGAGCUGAUUACAGGAAAGAAGCCGGUAGGGGAGUUUGGCGAUGGUGUGGACAUUGUUCACUGGAUCAAGAUGAUGACGGAUUCCAAAAGGGAGCAGGUUAUCAAGAUCAUGGACCCAAGGCUGUCAACAGUGCCCGUGCAUGAGGUAAUGCACGUCUUCUAUGUUGCGUUGCUUUGUGUGGAGGAACAGAGCGUGCAGCGACCCACAAUGCGGGAGGUGGUGCAAAUCCUCAGUGAGCUACCCAAGCCGAGUACGAAGCAUGGAGAGGAGCAGCUUACUGGUAGUGGUGAUGGUGAUGAAUCUGGUCCUGUAGGACCUCCUGAAACUGUGGAGCCUGCAACCGAUGAAGCAAAGGAGCAGCACCAACAGCAGCAACCGAGCUCGCCGUCUUCACUGCCUCCCAAUCUCAUCAGCAUCUGA
rnacentral:rRNA from 1 species